AUUCAGAUCACCUGGAGAUCUUGUUAAAAUUCAGAUUCUGAUUUAUUAUGAGAUGGAGUCUGAGAUUCUGCCUUCCUAACAAGCUCCCAGGUAAUGCCGAU
rnacentral:pre_miRNA from 1 species